GUGUCAGCAGCCGCGGUAAUACCGGCAGCCCGAGUGAUGGCCGAUAUUAUUGGGCCUAAAGCGUCCGUAGCUGGCCGGACAAGUCCGUUGGGAAAUCUGUCCGCUUAACGGGCAGGCGUCCAGCGGAAACUGUUCGGCUUGGGACCGGAAGACCUGAGGGGUACGUCUGGGGUAGGAGUGAAAUCCUGUAAUCCUGGACGGACCGCCGGUGGCGAAAGCGCCUCAGGAGAACGGAUCCGACAGUGAGGGACGAAAGCUAGGGUCUCGAACCGGAUUAGAAACCCCGGUAGUCC
rnacentral:rRNA from 1 species